UCCUUGGUGGUCUAUUGGCUAGGACUCAGCACUUUCACUGCUGUAGCUCAGGUUCGAUUCCUGGCCUGUGAA
rnacentral:tRNA from 1 species